rnacentral:snoRNA from 1 species
GUGCGAUGAUGCAUUAUGAACACAUCAUUCUGAAAACGUGUAGAGAAGUAGUGACUGAGCACA